rnacentral:tRNA from 1 species
AGAAAUUUAGGUUAAUCAAACCAAGAACCUUUCAAAGUCCUAAAAAAGAGCACUCAACCUCUUAAUUUCUG